CUCCUGCGGCGAGGCGGUAGUGGCGGCCGGGGUUCUCUCUGUCACUGAGACACAAAGGGAGAUUCAUAUGGCCUUGGCUUUGUAUAGCAUUACAACAGGCGGGAGAGAAAGAGGGAGAAGCAUAAAGCAAACGAAUCGAAUCAUUCAAUCUGGCGCCGGCAAGGGGCUCCGUUCCUCCCGCUCUGCCGGCCGGCCCGCUCGUAUUAUUGCAUGAGACGCGUGGGAUGGCAUGGAAGCGAGAGGAGCUAGCAGGGCCGGAGAGCAGAGGCAGAACAAAUUCCUCCGCGCCUCCGAUCGAUCCCCUACUUCGCCGCUAGCUGCACGGCCGGCCUCGGCCUGAUGCCGAGAUCUUGAACUCCCCUCGUCGUCACGUCGCUUUCCAGGCCUGCCAUCUCUGUCGCGGCAGCCACCUCGACGCAUGUGCUACCGUGGGUGGGCGGCGUGCGCUGGCGCGGCGGAGGAUAUAUCCCCGUCCAUGAUAACGACACUCCCUAAUCUUCUCACCAGACAGAUGAUCCAUGGCCCUCGCCCGGCCACCUCUUGCCGUGGAAGCAUAUUAUCCACAUACAUACUGCCGGUUCCGCACGCGCGGGUAGAAGGUGCAGUACGUAUCGUCUGGAGACGGCCGGGAGUAUCUCCCUUUGGCGGCGGCGGCGACGUAUAUAAAUAGGCAUGAUGGGAGCAUGCUUGCUUGUUCGAUCUUGUGCGCUUCUGUCCCGCCCCUCCUAGCCCCUCCUCCUUCUUCUUUUCGUUUUGGCAAUCUUCAGAUUAUGCAUGACAUGCAUGCACCAUGGACUGUUUGGUGGUAUUGCCAGACGACGACUUCUGUUUUCGUUGCGCAAUGUUUGUUUGUAUUGUACCGUGAUGCGAACGACUGAGAAGGAUUUUGGAUAUUGCGUUGUGAUAUUAUUGUACGUCAUGCAUAUGAUGGUGCUCUUUAGUUUCUGCCUGUGUGCUAGGACUUUCUGACGUUUGU
rnacentral:lncRNA from 7 species